AAUACCCUUUCAUUUCCGCAAGUAAACGAAAGGUACUUAGACAUUAAAAUUGUAACAAAAGAAGAUAAAUUCAUCUCAUGUUCGUCUCUCUCUCUCAUUCUCCGUCGGCUACCCGAACUCCCCCAACCCAUUGCUAACUCAAAAGCUUCUCUCCUACCUUGAAGAACACUUAUAAGAAGGAUCAUUACUUGCUUCUCUUAGUUUUGACUCCAAGAUUUCAAGUUCUAAAAGAGGCAUCGAGGAGAAUGUUGAAGAAGAUUCGGAUUGUGUGUCAGCAGAAUAAAGUGUUGCAGAUUGCUAUAAUGCUAAUAUGUUGCAUGAAGGGAUAAGGUUGUGAAGAAGACUGAGACAAUGAUAUAGUGAGAGGAAGUUUGGAAAGUAUAGCUUGGGAUACUAGGAAAAAGUGUUUGAAGAUCAACCUAUUUGUUAACAAGUGCAAAAUUGCAGAUUGUUUAGUGAUGUGUCCGUGUUUUUUACAUGGACACGACAGAGUUAUGCAGAGUUGUUGUGGAAGAAGGCCGGACAUACCAUGCCAUCAAUGGAACAGGUACCAUGUGAUUCUUAUUUUUUACGUGAGUUGUGUGUUUCUUUCACAAGCUUAACCUUAAUAAUGUUUGGCAUAAGAUAACUUACUUAUAUUUUUGAAUUUUGAAUAUACGUGCAUACCACCAUGAGAGCAUUUAUUGAAACUUUUGAAAGUCAGUAUGAUACUUUUGUGGAAACUUUAAUUAUAUGGAUCAUACUGCGCAAGAAAAUCUCCAAAAUACCCGGAGAGGAUAAAAUAUGAGCGAGAGAUCAUCCAGAGGGAGAUUGGGAUUGAAUUUGCCCAAAUAUUAUGAUAAUUAGUUUAUUCUGUUAAUUCUCUAGAUUGUACGAAUAUUAUUGAAAUAUUUAUAAUUUUGUACGAAAACUAUUUAUGCAUUGU